CCAGCCUUCCUUCUCCAUUUCACAGAAAAUUUAACAGACUCAGAGAGGUUACGUCUUGGGCAAUGGUCACCUACCUGGCAAAUGGUAGAUAGGACUCAAACCAGGGCCUAACAAACUCGAAAGCUGACGUUCUUUCCCUUCCCCUGCUCGGUGCCACCUCUGCAGGCCUCCGUGUACCAGGCACCACACUGGGCAGUAUGCCCAAGGCCCAGGCUGUCCCCGGUCCCUGGUCAAAGUCUAACCAGUAGGCAGUGACACAAGCCCCUGGCAUGUCACGGAAGUUGUGGUCAGCAUCGUCCACUGAGAAAGGGCUGUGAUAGAUCCUGACUGCACUGGAUGGAGACCCCAGGAAGCCCACCACACAAGGCUGCCGCCAAACCCUCUGCACCAGCCUGCUCCCUUCCCUCUAGGGAGUUGGUGCUGAGGGAUCCAGGAUACAGUUUUGGGAAGUCCAGGGCCCAGCCUCUCUGGAGGGCUCACCCGCUUUCUGCUGUUGGGUCAGUUUCUGGGGCUGCUCUCGGAGGUCAUCCAAGGUUCGCAGUCCUUCCCGGUACCACCGGUCAGCAGUCCUCACACCGACCCCGAAGAUCUGAGUGAAGAGCUGUGGGGAAGGAGCACAGCCCGGUUGGGCAGAGCUCUCAUGGCUGGACUCAGAUGAUCACUGGCUCCGGGACGGUGUGGCCCGUGGAGCACCAUGCACCAGGCAGGCGCCAUCACCACUCGCAACCUGCCCUAGACCACAGGGCAAGGAUUCAAACUUGGAGCCUGGCUACCCAGCCCGCAAAAUGGUACCUACCCAGCCUACCAUUUGCCAGUGAUCCUUUAAAACACGCCUGGCCCUAAUUAAUAGCACCCUUUACAGAAGAGGAGAUGGAAGCUCAGGGAAAGGUCACGAAGUGCCACAGCAAACUUAGAAUCCAAAACUACAGGUGCCACGGAAGACCGCGCCGCCCCGCACCUGCAGGCGUCGAGGACACGGAAGCCUUUGGAGCGCGCCAGGCGUGUGAGGAAGGCCCGGCGGCUGCGACCCAUGCGAGGCUCGACCAGGUAGAUGGCGACGCCGGGGAAGCGCGUCGAGGGCGGCGUGGAGGAAGCUGCAUCGCCGGUAGGGGACCUGACCCGCGCUCGCCGCCGUUUGGGGAGCAUUGGGACCACAGCCUCCAGCAACGCGGAGCGAGACGGAAGGAAUCCGCAGUGAGGCUGACGGAAGCGGCGGGCGGGCAGCCGCCGGCUAGAAGAGGACGUGGCCCCGCCCUAUCCAAAUAAGGCCUCUCCGUGAGACUCGCGACCGGGGCCAGUCGGAGCGCUGGGGAGGGUCCGGGCUCCUACAGGACUGGGUGUCUCGGCCGCUCCGGAAGACCCGCCUCCAUGCAAAUAACAGCAGAGGACACGCCUUUUAUUUAAAUUAAUGUCUCCGAAAGCGCA